rnacentral:sRNA from 1 species
CUGCCCUGUGAGUUCCUCCGGCCGGGCUGCGGGGCUCCGCUCAGUCCGGGAGCGCAGCUGGGCCGCGGCGCUCCUACCUCCGCCUUCCCACCGCCCGCAGCUGAAGCACAUCCCGCAGCCCGGCGCGGACUCCGAUCGCCGCAGUUGCCCUCCGGCGCCAUGUCGCAGAACGGAGCGCCCGGGAUGCAGGAGGAGAGUCUGCAGGGCUCCUGGGUAGAACUGCACUUCAGCAAUAAUGGGAACGGGGGCAGCGUUCCAGCCUCGGUGUCUAUUUAUAAUGGUGACAUGGAAAAAAUACUGCUGGACGCACAGCAUGAGUCUGGACGGAGUAGCUCCAAGAGUUCUCACUGUGACAGGUAGGCGCACGUCAACAAGUGUAUGUGUUACAGUGCUGAUGUCUUCAGUGGGUGACAGUCACAGCUGGAAGUGCCCGUGUCACCUCUAGGACAGUGGGCUGGACUGGCUCCUGCUGCUGUCCGUCCUUAUAUAGGAGCCUCGCCCUCUUUGGGGAUGCAGUGACCUGGGACUUAGUCUGUGGGGAGCCACGUUCAAGUCAUCAGUAGGCAGCGGAACAGCCACAGACCCCACUCUGAGAAACGCACUCACGCGCCUCAGCGGGGCUGUGGUCGCAGGAGGAGCGGUUCCUGGUUAGCAGUACUUCUGAGUGACUCCAAGGUAGAGUGGCUGACAGUGGUCAAAGGUCGCGUGCCCUUGAGAGCUGUGCAACA